CAGUGAUCCCACCACACCACCAAAACGUAGCAUCCCUGUUGAUUGCAGGAUCAAGGAUGAUUUUGAUGGCAUGCGCUUGGAAUGGACUUUAUCUUCUAUUGAACCCAAAAAGUACUACGUCCCUACUAAGAGAUUCUUCAGCUUGACCUGCAACAAAAGGGAUAGAGAAAGAGUUGAGCAAAGGUACUUUCCUUAUAUUAACAGAACUGCACAAGAAAUUCUGAACAAGAGUGACAGCCUCAGCAUUUACACUUAUGAUCAAGAAUGUUCUAUGUGGGAGCCGACCGCUUUCAAGCACCCGUCAACAUUUGAGACCUUGGCAAUGGAGCCCCAGCUUAAGGAAUUCAUAAUGAAGGAUCUUGAUUCAUUCAUGGAACGCAAGGAGUUCUUCGAGAACGUUGGCAGGGCUUGGAAACGAGGGUACCUUUUGUAUGGUCCACCUGGGACAGGAAAAUCAUCACUGAUUGCUGCAGUUGCGAAUUACAUGAGAUACAAUGUAUAUGAUCUUCAGUUUCAAGGCGUUAGAAACGAUUACGAUCUCAGACGCAUACUCACAUCCACCACAAACCGCUCCAUUCUUCUCAUCGAAGACAUAGAUUGCAUCACAACAGCAUCACAUGAUCGAACCAAGGUCAUUGAAAAAUGUGAAGCAGAAGAAGAUGAAGAUGAGAACAAACGUCCCUUCUCUAUCAACUAUCGGGUAAUUCAUUUGUUUCUCUCCUUAUCUUGGUUUGAUUGACGUUGAAACAAGUUUCUGAAGUCACUAAGUUAACAUAAUUUUGUAGGUAACACUAUCAGGCUUACUCAACUUCAUUGAUGGAUUGUGGUCGAGCUGUGGGAAUGAAAGAAUCAUAAUCAUUACCACAAAUCAUAAAGAAGAGUUGGAUCCAGCGCUGCUACGGCCGGGGCGAAUGGAUGUGCAUAUUUACAUGGGAUAUUGUAGUCCAGCAGGAUUCAGAAAACUUGCAGCUUCAUAUCUUGGGAUCAAAGAUGACAAACUGCUGAAGUGGCACAACAACUGAUGAUCAGUGAUGAACCCAAAGUUGCACUCCAAGGUCUCAUCGAAUUUCUUAACAGCAAGAAGGGUAUAGAGGAAGCUGCAGUUGAAGAGAAGACAAAAUUCAAUGCUUGCUGGGUCUGAGACACUGAAAUAUUUUUGACUUAAUUUACUUAUCUGGCUUAAAAGCGGGUAAACUUGUGGCAUUUACAAAAGAGUUUGACUCCAUAUCAUCAAAAGAGUGUGCUUCAUGACAAUCUUCAUGGUUGAAUUUCUUUCCUAAAUCAAUUUAGGAUCCUGGUGCAUUGAUGAUAUUGACAUUUUAAAUAUGAAGGGGGAAAUAACAUCAACGCAAAAUUCUUCCAGGUGUCCAAACAUUUCCCCCCUGAAUCUAACAGCUAUUUUCCCCUCCUAUACCAAUUUUUGCAGCAACCCAAUGCUUUAACUAAAAAGGAAGUUAUCAUAUAUACGUGGGCCCAAUCUGGGGCUAGCUUCUUUUUUUAUUACCAUAAAAUUCUCAGCAUCAAGAAAAGGAAAAGUCAGGUUGGGUUAACCUUCCAAACCUAAGCCCACUAAUCACAAUGUCUCCCCAAAAUCAUUCCUUCCCUAAUUGUUACUCAUCUAAACCUCUUUCAUGGUUUUAGGAAUGGUCUAAUUAUGAAUUUUUAAAAUUUAGUCUUUUUCCAAGCAACUAAUUUCUUUCAGAAUCUUUUUUCUACCAAUCCAUUACAAAAUUGUGAAAGGCUCAGAAGUGAAAUCCAGCCGUGUAUAUCAAAAUCUCUAAAUGAAAAACUUAUAAGAGAUUUCAAGGAAGAUGAGGUAGUGGAAGCUUUAAAAGGCAUGGCAACUCUCAAAGCAUCUGGAAUAGACAGAUACCCAGCAUUUUUCUACCAAAAAUUAUGGCAUAUAAUAGGAAAAGACGUUACUCAUUAUUGCCUUCAAGUUCUAAAUAAUGGGAUGGAUUUCGAGGAAGUUAAUAAAACCAAUAUCGUGCUUAUCCCAAAGGUACAAACCCCUACGAAUUUGGGACAAUUUAGGCCCAUAAGCCUUUGCAAUGUCAUAUACAAGUUGAUCUCAAAAAUGGUUGUUAAUAGAUUUCAAAGGGUACUAUACUUAUGUAUAGAGGAAGCACAAAGUGCCUUUGUCCCAGGUAGACAAAUUACUAGCAACAUAAUGAUUGCUUAUGAAUUACUACACUCUUUCAAAAAAAAGAAAAGAGGUGGCACAGAGUAUUUUGCUUUAAAACUGGAUAUGAGCAAAGCAUAUGAUAGAGUGGAAUAGAAUUUUGUUGAAAAUAUGAUGAAGAUGCUAGGUUUUUGCAAUAGGUGGAUUGAGCUCAUAAUAAAAUGCGUACGAACAGUGUCUUACUCAGUAGUAAUUAAUGGGAAUCGAUGGGCAGAAUUUAAACCAACAUAGGGACUUAGACAAGGAGAUCCAUUAAGCCCGUAUUUACUUAUCAUAUGUGCAAAUGGAUUCUCUAAGCUUCUGAACAAGGCUAAAAGAGAGAUUUUUUGAAGGGGUCAAAGUGGGAAGAGGAGAGCUUGCUAUCACUCAUUUAUUCUUCGUCGAUGAUAGCAUCUUAUUUGGGAAGGCAACAUUGAAUAACGCAAUAACAAUGAAGGCAAUAGUCAAUGAAUAUGAAAGUUUAUCCAGACAACUAGUGAAUUUCGAGAAGUCUUUGAUCUAUUUCAACAAGAAUGUUCAAGACGAUUUAAAAGGGCAGAUAGAGGGAAUUUGGGGUGUUUGGAUUUCAAUCAAUCCAAAAAAAUAUCUGGGGUUACCUACAAUGAUUGGGCGGAGAAAGAAAGGUGCGUUUUUAGAAUUAAAAGAAAGAUUCAUCCAAAAAUCAAAAAAUUGGAGCAUUCGCAACUUGUCUUUUGGAGGUAAAGAAAUUUUUAUCAAAUCCAUUUUACAAGCACUUCUGAUUUAUGCUAUGCAGUGUUUUAAGUUACCAGUUUUAUUUUGCAAAGAAUUAGAAAAUCUGAUGAGUACAUUCUGGUGACGCAAUUUAAAAACAAAUAAAGGCAUCCACUAGUGCAGUUGGGUAGCAAUGUGUAGUCCAAAAGAAUUAGAGGGUAUAGGGUUUAAGGAUUUAACAAUGUUUAAUACGGCUCUGUUGGCUAAAAAGAGAUGGAGACUAAUCACCCAACCUGAUUGUUUGUUUGCGCGAAUUAUGAAAUCAAAAUAUUAUCCACGUGAUAAUUUUUUACAUGCAAGGUUAGAAGCUUACCCCAUCCUUUACCUGGAACAGCAUUUGGAAUGCACGAAGUUUGCUUGAGGAAGGAACAGGAUGGAGGAUAGGGAAUGGCGAAUCAACAAAUAUUUGGAAUGAUACUUGGCUACCCACACCUGAUGAUGGAAGAGUAAAAGUUCAAAAUAUUAAUAUCAGCUAUUCAAAAGUAGCAGAUCUUAUUAAUACAAAUUCAUUCACAUGGAACUUACUCGAAGUAGAGCAAGCAGAGGCAAUAUUGUCAAUUCCCUUGGUGAAUAGGAUACAACCGUAUGUUCUAGUCUGAAGAGGGGACAAAUUAGGCGAAUACAUAGUACAAAGUGGUUACAAAUGGCUAAUAUCUAAGAAUCUACACCUACAGAAUUAUAUUACAGACCAAACUAUCACUAAAGAAUUUUAUUCAAAGAUCUGGAAUCUCCCGAUCCCAAGUAAAAUAAGAAUACAUCUGUGGAGGGUGGUGAGUAAUUUUAUUCCAACACUCAGUAUUCUCAAAUCUCAAAAACUCAGGAACGAUGAUGAAUGUCUAGUUUGUUCAUUUGGAGAAGAAAUAGUGGAAUACAUUUUUCGAGAUUGUGGAUUCACAAAACAGAUUCUACAAGAAGUUGGGAUGGACACCUCGCCAUCAAACACAAGACAAGUAUGGAAACAAUGGUUAGCAAGUUUCUUCCAAAUGAAUAACACUAAAACAUGCAUAGUCAUGGCAAUAACUAUUUGGGCAUUAUGGUACAAUAGAAAUAUAAUUUAUCACGAAGAUAAGAAGAAAAGGGUAUAAGAGGUUUCCAGUUUUAUUUUAGCUUAUUUUAAGGAAUUAGAGCAAGUUCAAUCAUUAAUAGAAACUAGAAUCAUUCCGAGAGAGAUGUUUUGGAGACCCCCCAUGGAAGGACAAAUCAAGGCCAAUUUUGAUGCUGCAUAUUCACAACAAAACUCGAUAGCAAUUGCGGGGGUUAUCUUAGGAAAUCAUGAAGGCUUUGUUAUGGGAGCAUGCUCUUACCCUUUAGGAAAGACAGGGGAUCCGACUACUGCAGAAGCAAAGGCGUAUCUACAGGCAAUCAUCUUUGAGGAAGAAAUGGGCUUUCGAGAUCUAGUGGUUGAAGGUGAUGGUCUAACUGUUAUUAAAAAGUUGAAAUUAGAUACAGAGGAUAUAUCGGUGAUUGGAAACAUUAUUAAAGAAAUCUAGAGGAAAAGAGCAAGCUGUUUUACCAUAAUUUUUGAGCAUACACCCCGAAAGACACCCCGAAAGACAAACGAAACAGCACAUGCCCUUGGUAGUCGAGGCUAUAAUCUAGAUAACCCAUACUAUUGGGUAGAAGAGGUACCGCCGGAGAUUGAGUACAUCAUCGCCAACGACCAGAGAAGAAGAUAGAAUUGGUUGAAAAGGACAUUUUUUACUGAGUCCGAGGAUAUAACACAAAUACGCCUAUACUUAAACGAUCUCUGAAGAAACUCAGUAGAAGGAGAUUACUAGUAAAAAGCUUCAAUUGAAGAUCUUUGCAGCAAAGAAAAGGCAAAAUCAGUUUACUCUACCAACACUUAUAGAAUGCAAAGAAGAGGAAAUGGGACUAUGAUUGAAGAGAGGAUUUAGGUUUUCAAGUUUAUUUUUGCUUUUGCUUUGUUUUAGGGCAGUUUCAUUGACGUUUCAUUCAUCUUUCAGGCUUUUAUUUAGUAAGCAUAACCGAGGCACCGCCUCAGCUACAAACAAUAGUAUGACAGCUGCUUGACAGCUA
rnacentral:lncRNA from 1 species